GGGAAGGUGGCAGAGUGGUUUAAUGCAUCGGUCUUGAAAACCGACGUAGCUGCAAGGCUACCGAGGGUUCGACUCCCUCUCUUUCCG
rfam:Coccomyxa sp. C-169 plastid, complete genome.